rnacentral:rRNA from 1 species
CCUACGGUGUGCAGCAGUAGGGAAUCUUCCACAAUGGACGAAAGUCUGAUGGAGCAACGCCGCGUGAGUGAAGCAGUAUUUCGGUACGUAAAGCUCUAUCAGCAGGGAAGAAAAUGACGGUACCUGACUAAGAAGCCCCGGCUAACUACGUGCCAGCAGCCGCGGUAAUACGUAGGGGGCAAGCGUUAUCCGGAUUUACUGGGUGUAAAGGGAGCGUAGACGGCAGCGCAAGUCUGGAGUGAAAUCCCAUGGCUUAACCAUGGAACUGCUUUGGAAACUGUGCAGCUAGAGUGCAGGAGAGGUAAGCGGAAUUCGUAGUGUAGCGGUGAAAUGCGUAGAUAUUAGGAGGAACACCAGUGGCGAAGGCGGCUUACUGGACUGUAACUGACGUUGAGGCUCGAAAGCGUGGGGAGCAAACAGGAUUAGAUACCCUAGUAGUC